GUUCCUUCCGUAUCUAGAGGAGUACAUGUGUCACAGGUUUUGUAUGCGCAUCGCGGACGGACCACAUCGAAUAGCACGACUGGACGCCGUCGCCGGUUUAGCGGCCGCGCACGCCUCCGUCCCCCACCCCUUAUCUAUCGUGCACCUCUGCGUAGACUCUUUGUUAGGACUGCUUUGCAAAACCGAUGUGGGCCCUCCUCGUCUUACGUCGUCACACACACCAGUGUAACGACUCGGAUGAAUGGAAUUUUGAUGCAAUAUAUAAAGCACAACCCUCAGCAACGGAUCUCCCGGCCCCCGCAUCGACGAAGGACGCAGCGAAACGCGAUAAGUAAUGUGAAUGCAGAAAUUCAGUGAAUCAUCGAAUCUUUCGAACGCAUCUUGCGCUUCCUCGGUAUUUCCUAGGAGCAUGCCUGUUUUAAUUGUCAUAAAUAUUCUCAACCGCACCCUAUGGUGGUGUGGUUUGGGAUUUUGGGGGGUGGGCAGGCUUUAGUUCUGCUUCCCCCUGAAAUUACAAUUUGGUGGUUGCCUGACGUGAUGUGAUAAAUUUAUCCCGCAUCCUGUUUUAUGAGCUUGCCGUGUCGUGUUUGGAGUUUGAUAAACUUUGACCUCAAAUCAUGUAGGACCACCCCGCUGAACUUAAGCAUAUCAAUAAGCGGAGG
rnacentral:rRNA from 1 species